AUUGAACGCUGGCGGCAUGCCUUACACAUGCAAGUCGAACGGUAACGGGCCUUCGGGUGCCGACGAGUGGCGAACGGGUGAGUAAUACAUCGGAACGUGCCCGAUCGUGGGGGAUAACGAGGCGAAAGCUUUGCUAAUACCGCAUACGAUCUACGGAUGAACGCAGGGGACCGCAAGGCCUUGCGCGGACGGAGCGGCCGAUGGCAGAUUAGGUAGUUGGUGGGAUAAAAGCCUACCAAGCCGACGAUCUGUAGCUGGUCUGAGAGGAUGAUCAGCCACACUGGGACUGAGACACGGCCCAGACUCCUACGGGAGGCAGCAGUGGGGAAUGGUGGACAAUGGGCGCAAGCCUGAUCCAGCCAGGCCGCGUGCAGGAUGAAGGCCUUCGGGUUGUAAACUGCUUUUGUACGGAACGAAAAGCCUUCGUUUAAUACAGGAGGGUCAUGACGGUACCGUAAGAAUAAGCACCGGCUAACUACGUG
rnacentral:rRNA from 1 species